GAUGAAGAACGCAGCGAAAUGCGAUAAGUAGUGUGAAUUGCAGAAUUCAGUGAAUCAUCGAAUCUUUGAACGCACAUUGCGCCCCUUGGUACUCCAUGGGGCAUGUCUGUUCGAGCGUCAUUUACACCCUCAAGCUCAGCUUGGUGUUGGGCGUCUGUCCCGCUUCGUGCGCGGACUCGCCUCAAAUGCAUUGGCAGCGGUCUUGCCAGCUUCUCGCGCAGCACAUUGCGCUUCUAGAGGCUUUGGCGGAUCGGCGUCCAUCAAGUACACCCACAGUUUGACCUCGGAUCAGGUAGGGAUACCCGCUGAACUUAAGCAUAUCAAUAAGCGGAGGA
rnacentral:misc_RNA from 1 species